UUUGAUUGUUUUAUAGGAGGGUAGUUCCUGCUUGGUAAAGCAUGAGGAGGGUCCCCAAAGAAACGCCACUGCAGAAUCAGAGCCCGCAACACAGAAAUUGCAAAUGCCUCUUUGUUCUGAAUGUGAGGAGAAAAAAGGCUCAGAGAAACAAUCAGCCAGUUUCGAUGGGAUUCCAGCGAGAGAAGAAAAAAUACUGUAAACAGGAGAUGCAGAGGAGUCAAAAGUGUCUCUUUCCUGCUGUGUUAUGUUUCUAGAGUGCAGGCUCCAUGGGAACCAUGUUUCUAAAGCAUGCAACUUUUUCAAACUUUUCUGUAACUUUAUAAUGUUGACCACACGAUUUCCAAAAGAUUCCAAGCUAAUUGUGAACUUUAGCAAUAAUCUAAUGAAAAGGUUUUCUUCACUUAAACAUAUGUAAUUGUCCUCCCUAAAAUUACUCAGCAUAAACGGAUCUGUUUUGAACUAAAAUGCAACCUUAACCUUU